CGGCGGACGGGUGAGUAACACGUGGGUAACCUGCCUGUAAGACUGGGAUAACUCCGGGAAACCGGGGCUAAUACCGGAUGGUUGUUUGAACCGCAUGGUUCAAACAUAAAAGGUGGCUUCGGCUACCACUUACAGAUGGACCCGCGGCGCAUUAGCUAGUUGGUGAGGUAACGGCUCACCAAGGCAACGAUGCGUAGCCGACCUGAGAGGGUGAUCGGCCACACUGGGACUGAGACACGGCCCAGACUCCUACGGGAGGCAGCAGUAGGGAAUCUUCCGCAAUGGACGAAAGUCUGACGGAGCAACGCCGCGUGAGUGAUGAAGGUUUUCGGAUCGUAAAGCUCUGUUGUUAGGGAAGAACAAGUACCGUUCGAAUAGGGCGGUACCUUGACGGUACCUAACCAGAAAGCCACGGCUAACUACGUGCCAGCAGCCGCGGUAAUACGUAGGUGGCAAGCGUUGUCCGGAAUUAUUGGGCGUAAAGGGCUCGCAGGCGGUUUCUUAAGUCUGAUGUGAAAGCCCCCGGCUCAACCGGGGAGGGUCAUUGGAAACUGGGGAACUUGAGUGCAGAAGAGGAGAGUGGAAUUCCACGUGUAGCGGUGAAAUGCGUAGAGAUGUGGAGGAACACCAGUGGCGA
rnacentral:rRNA from 1 species